rnacentral:lncRNA from 1 species
ACUCUCAAUGUAUUCAUAACAAAUGUAGGCCAAGUGGCAAAAUGAAGGCAUGCAUGCAUUUGCAAUUACCCUCAUUUUCAAGUAAAAUAAUAUGUAUUUUUAAAAUAAGGCUUAAGUCAUUGAUAGGACUCUAAACUUGUUUCGAAAUUUUACUUGAAGCCUUCAACUCGGACUUGUACCUAUCAGGCUCCUAACCCACCAAAAAUUUGAUCCACCUAUACCUUUUUGCCCACACCGCACAUCACGUGGUAUAUACUCACUGUGGGCACGUGAAAGUGAAUUUUUACUGAAUUUUUUUUGGGUCUUCUUCAACCUCAAUUAUAAGUUUUUUCUCCUACAUCUUUCACCACCGCCCGUCGCCUUCUUCCUUCACGAAAAAAAUGGAGACCACCAUUAAAAUAUUCAAAUCUCAUAAUUUCUCUACAUAUAUCUCUCUCCUCCCACUCUUCCUCUUCCGCCUCUUCUCUUUCUCAUCUAACAUAUUGAAAAUUAAAAAGAGAAGCACACCUAAAAAAAUUGUAAAAUCUGUCACCACUGCCAGCCACCUUUUUCAUCGAAAUAAAUGGAGAUCACUAUUAGAGCAUUUAAACUUAUACUUCUUUUCUUUCUCGCUUGCUCUUCCUCUCUCGCCUCUUUUUUUUCUCAAAAAAUAAAUUUGAAAUCAAAAAAUUGACAAAAAAAAUUGCCACUAAAAAAAGAUCCUAAUUUAAAGUGUAGAGUAGGAAGAAAGCAUAAAGAGGAAAAAGUUGAUUAACACGAACAUAAUUAAAGACUUUAUUUUUUGCUAAUUUAAUUUUUUUUCUUGAUUACUAAAUGAAAAUUCAAUUUUUUGGUUUUUAAUGAUUUCAUUUUUAUGUUCAAUUUUGAUUUGUUCAAUUAUAGUCGGCCAGUCAUCAUUUAGGUGUUUUCCGCCAUUGAUGUGGACAAUGGUGAUUUUCAGA